rnacentral:pre_miRNA from 1 species
UCGGGAAUAGUAGUGUAAUGCUGUGAAGGUGAAACAGGUAUUAUGCUGCUAUUCACGAGA